AUCUUGGAGUUGAUCACUUUAAUGCAGAAGAGUGAGUUUCU
rnacentral:sRNA from 1 species